UUGCCAUUCGAAUUGGGAAAGUAAAAGAAACCCCCAUGCACGCCCAUGCCAGCCAGAUGUUAUUACCAAUCCGUAGCCGGUUAACCUUCUGACUUUACGUAAGCAAAGUGCACAAUGUGGCAACCACAUUUAAAUACAAUUAGCAGUUAUGAUUUUCACUUUUCUUAUGGCUGCAAUUUACCAUUGUUGCCGCCACACUCGAGCCCAUGUGGCAAUGUGCAACAGCAACAACAAUAGUCGAACUCAUGGGUGCAAUGGCCAACGGACACGUGUGUCUAACUUCGCCUGGGAUGAUUGCCUGGGAUGUUGGACGGCUGGACAUGGUAAUUUCAUAAGACUGGCGAUCAGCUCAGCCCGAAUCAUUUUCGAUUGCAAAACGGCAACGGCAACGGCGGCAACAACAAUGUAGCAUGUUGCACAUAUUGGUAAAAAGGGCAAAUAGCCAAAAUGAAUGCGCAAUGAUUGGCAUGCGAGUUGCAACAACAACGCCAGAGGUGACCAAUUGCCCAAAAAAUAUAAAAUGAGUGCACUUAAGAUAUUCAUAUGGCAGACAAAUAUAUAAUUAUGUUCUAACAUCAAAAUUGCAUGCUAUACGAAAAGCAAGAAGAAAUAUUGCAGAUGCUGCAAUGUAUUCUAUUUACUUUUAUUUUAAACCGUUUCAAAUGGCAUUAAAUGCUAAUAAAUCACAAUUGAGUACAAGUAAGAACGUGGCAGUGGCAGUCUCUCCAGGCAAGUACUCAUAGAAAAGUCGAAUGCUGAUCAAGUUUUGCUCAGCUUCAAAUAUACUCUAGUUUUGAGGGGCUGCCAUCAUUAGCAGUUUUCUAGUCGUCGGUGAAUUUUCAAUAAAAAAUAAAAAGAUGAAAUUACACACGAAGUGUAAAAGAGAAUAAUUUUAAUAUAAAUACACUUUUCUGUUUAUAUAAAGUGCAGUCAGUUUAUUUAGACGGAAGUCGAUAGCACUCGCUUUGCAGGCGAGUAACUUUCUCUAUUAUUGACUUGUGUCGAAAUACCAAAAUAAAUAAAUGACACCUCAACCGCAUCAGAAAUGUUGUUUUACACACUUUCAAGUGAUAGAAAAUUGUUUUAUUCACGGCCUGCCACGGCGACGUCAGCGUCGUCGACGUCGUCAACUUGACCCAAACACCUCACUUAAAAAUGUUUACAAAUUACGACUUAAUCGCGUGCUGCUUGAACCCUACAACAACCACAAUCACAACUACAAGUAUAACACCAGCCACAACCAGCACAACAAGCACAAUAACAGCGAGAAGAAGAAGAGGGAGAAGAGGAAGAAGUUGCGACGUCAGCUUCAAGUUCAAACUUACAGCUAAGCCCGGUCUUCCUUCUUCCACAGCAGUCUGGCAUUGAUUGAUGAAGUGCAAUUGGUUGGAUUUGAGUGACAGAGUUGAACGUCGACCGUCGCAUGUCACCCAAUAAGCGAAGAGAAUUUCUAGAGCACUUUUAGAUUUAAGAAGUCCUGACCAUUUGAAUCGUAUAGUAAACCAAUAUCUGGACACACCCUGACGAUUUCACGCAACAACAACAACAAAAACCUCAAGUAAUGAUAACUGCAUCGCAGUGCUCCUCCAACCCCCGGGCCAUCGGCAGGCAACAGGUUGCCCGAAGACGUGCAAAUUGAAUAAAUGGAUGAAUAAGGUGGAGCAACGUUUGGACGUGCAAAAGACAACGAGAGCGAA